UACGUAGGGGGCUAGCGUUGUCCGGAAUCAUUGGGCGUAAAGAGCGUGUAGGCGGCCCGGUAAGUCCGCUGUGAAAGUCGGGGGCUCAACCCUCGAAUGCCGGUGGAUACUGUCGGGCUAGAGUGCGGAAGAGGCGAGUGGAAUUCCUGGUGUAGCGGUGAAAUGCGCAGAUAUCAGGAAGAACACCCGUGGCGAAGGCGGUUCUCUGGGACGGUACUGACGCUGGAGACGCGAAGGCGUGGGGAGCGAACAGG
rnacentral:rRNA from 1 species